ACGUCAUCAUUGAGUAAACUUUGACCCGGAACCUCACAGUCAGCAGACACUUCCUGGGAGGGAGGGUCUGCUUCUGAUUGGGUGGAAUGUGUCUGCUGACUGUGAGGUUCCGGGUCAAAGUUUACUCAAUGAUGGCCU
rnacentral:miRNA from 1 species